UACGGGGGGGGCAAGCGUUGUUCGGACUUACUGGGCGUAAAGGGCUCGUAGGCGGCCAACUAAGUCGGAUGUGAAAUCCCCAGGCUUAACCUGGGAACUGCAUCCGAUACUGGAUGGCUUGAAUCCGGGAGAGGGAUGCGGAAUUCCAGGUGUAGCGGUGAAAUGCGUAGAUAUCUGGAGGAACACCGGUGGCGAAGGCGGCAGCCUGGACCGGCAUUGACGCUGAGGAGCGAAAGCCAGGGGAGCAAACGGG
rnacentral:rRNA from 1 species